rnacentral:rRNA from 1 species
UACAGAGGUGGCAAGCGUUGUUCGGAAUUACUGGGCGUAAAGGGCGCGUAGGCGGUCCUGUAAGUCUUGUGUGAAAUCCCUCGGCUUAACUGAGGAACUGCACGAGAUACUGCGAGACUUGAGUUCGGGAGAGGAAAGCGGAAUUCCGGGUGUAGCGGUGAAAUGCGUAGAUAUCCGGAGGAACACCGGUGGCGAAGGCGGCUUCUGGACCGACACUGACGCUGAGGCGCGAAAGCUAGGGGAAGCAAACGGGAUAGAAACC